rnacentral:rRNA from 1 species
UACGUAGGGUGCAAGCGUUAUCCGGAAUCACUGGGCGUAAAGCGUGCGUAGGCGGAAGUUUAAGUGAGGUGUUAAAUCGUGUGGCUCAACCAUAUCGAUGCAUCUCAUACUGGGCUUCUAGAGGAUGGCAGAGGCAAGUGGAAUUGGUAGUGUAGCAGUGAAAUGCGUAGAUAUUACCAGGAACACCAAUGGCGAAGGCAGCUUGCUGGCCACACCUGACGCUGAGUCACGAAAGCGUGGGGGGAGCGAACAGG